ACUGGGCCGAUGAGUAGGCAAGAAAGCACUUUGUCACUCUCUGGAGGAGAAGAACUGAGAGCUGCCCUUGGAAAGGAGCCUGCACAGCAACCUGGGUCACUGAACAUGCCACAUGCCGAAGGAAUUACCACUGUUCAGUCUGGAUACCCAUGUGUUGGGUGCACUGCAAAGAAGAGGAGGGAUAAUGACAGUGGCCAGUGUUUCUCCCACAGGUAAACAGAUUCAAAUUAAUGUUCAAGUUUCUGGCCUAUUCUUGGGCCACUUGGAAGCAAAUGGCAGCAGCUUCUGUCUCCCUGUACUCCUUUGAUUGUGGGCUGCCUGGAGGAGCAGGGAGCUCACUUUUGGGGAUCACAUUAAUCUGAGAGUAAUUCUUCAGAGAAAGGGUAGCACUCACCAGUCAGCAGGCAGCACUCAGUAGCUGAGGAAGGGCACACAGUCUCAUAAAGGGGAUUGGGUGGGACCCCCAACCACGUUCACUCUGGAGAGACUCAACUGCCAUGCUGAGGAGUUUGGGAUUUCCUCACUGACACUGGUAGACUAUUAAUCCCCUCAGGAGGGUAUUUCCAGGUCACGAAACUAUUCUGGGGUGAAAAAUAUGGAGUGUUAGGAAGAAUGGAUUAGAAGAAUGUGUGACUAAAAGGACAAAGACCCUUUUGUAGACAAUGAUGAUAAAAUAUCUCAUAUUUAUUGAUCAUCAAUGCAUUAUGUGGAUUAUCUCAGUUCUCAAAAUAUUCUCCUAAAUCUUAUUUUAUUACUGGUGGGGAAAAUGAGGUUCUGAAAGUUUAAGUCAUUUGCUCAAGUCCCAAGGCUGAUAAGUGAUGGAGCCAGCAUAAUCACUGCUUUCCAUGGCUAGGCAGUAGGAAGAACUCAGUACUUUUAUGUGAGGAUGGAGAUCAUGUGUAUUAGUUUCCUAUGGUUACUAUAACAGACUAUUACAAACUUGGUGUCCUAAAACAGAAGUUUAUUCUCUGAGAGUUUCAGAGACCAGCAAUCAGUAUAACUUGGCUGAAGUCAACAGGUGGCCAUUUUUCAGCCUACCACAUUAUAGAACAACAUGUUUUUGAAGUCAUGCAAUUAGGAGAAUAGUGGCAUUAAUGGGGGAAAAAAAAAAAGGACAAGCACAUGAUUGGAUUAGAGACAGAAAUGGAGGAGUCUGAUUUGGGGUGACCUGAGUCUGGAGUGUUGGCAGAACAUCCAAGUGGACAAAUCCAGAAGAUAGUUGGAAGACUGUGAGCGGUGCUAGGAGAGCAGAGAUGUAGAUUUAGCAGCACUAUGAGUAGGAAGGGAUGGGCAAGGCUGAGAAAGUCCCCAUUACCACCCAGAACACUGCCUGACAUUGGAAGGCUGGCCUCUCCUCAAUGUGCAGCAUGCCUGAUGUUCUUGCUUUCUUCUCGUCAACUUGCAGGAUAGCACUUACUCAGAUCUACACUCCAAGUGUAAGAGUUCCUAUAACCUCUGCCAAUCUCUUCUUUCGUUUGAUUCACAACUUCUGCUUGACACAACACAUGGAUAGACCUAUGGCCUCUCUUUCUUUCAGACCCCCAUCUAAUUCAGUCUUGUCCCUUUUCCCUUUCUCUGUGUAUCCACCUCUGUCAUGUCCAGUCCUUACUUGUCUUUUCUAUUCUUCUUUGCAUAAUGACUACCAAAAUAUGAGCUUUAUAUUCCUUACCUGGUUGCUUUGUAGGGAACACUGUCUUAUAACUUAUACCAUAGAGUUCUUCUCCCAUUUCCUCUAUCAGAACUAGAACAUAGGUUAAUCUGCUUCUUGCUCCUUGUUGUUCUUUCAAACCACUGAAAUACAGCUAUCACCCCAAAACUCCAUUUGAGACCUAUAAGGACUAUUAAUAGCCUUAUCAUUCUUCAUUUCUAAAACUCUCUUCUGCUGUGUGUAUCUUUCCAGGAUCUGGCUCCAGCUUCUUUUAGGACUUUCACAGAGAAAUUCCAUUUGUCUGUUACAUCCCAAGGACAUUCCUUUUCAACUUCACUGCUUUACUUUAUUCCUUUCAGAGCUUUUAUCCUGUUACCUCUCCACUCUCCCUUCAUAACAGUACAGAUUCCAGACUUUCAAGUGCUUCAUCUUGCCUGUUAAAAACCUCUGAUUGUACUUGGAUCUCUAUUCAGCUAGAACAUCAUGAUAUGAAUUACAUUCCUUCAAUUGUCCAGGUUCUGUGCUCAGUACUAUGGGAUCUGAGAUGAAUCUGACACUGUCCGUGUGUUUAGUAAGUUCACAGCCAAGUAGACAGGAUAAGUACACAAGUAACUAUCAUACAUGUAGGGUAUGUUGAGUAUGAAAAGAGAGGGAUAAGUUGUGAGAAAUUCCAGAGGAUAAAGAAAUUAAUGAAGGAAAGAUCAACUGGUAAGGUAGCUUUUGAGUUAGGUAGGACAGAAUGAGAAGGAAAAAUAUAUUCCAAACUAAGAAAGUAUUGAAAGGAAAGGCAAGGGAUAUGCAGGACAAACGUAGUUUAGUUUUGCUGGAAUCCAUGUCUCUUAAUCUGCUCAGGCUGCCAUAACAAAUUACCACAGAAGAGAUGUCUUACAACAGAAGUUUAUUUUCUCCCAGCUCUGGAGGCUGGGGAGUCCAAGAUCAAUGUGCCAACAGAUCCAGUCAGGGCCUUCCUCCCAGCUUUCCAAGGACUGCCUUCUUGCUAUGCCUUCACAUGGCAGAGAGUGAGGGCUCUCUCUCUUCCUCUUUUUAUAAAGUCACUAAUUCCAUCACUAAUUCCAGCCUUAAGGUCUUCAUCUAACCUGAAUUUCCUCCCAAAGGUUUCAUAUCCAAAUACUAUUGCAUUGGUAGUUAGGGCUUCAAGACACAAAUUUGGGGGGAAGGGGGACACAAUUCAGUCCCUUGCACCAUGGUACAAAAUAAAGGAAAUAAACUGGAGACGUAGGAAGGCUAGAUUGGGGUUGAAUUGCAGAAUGUAUUAAAGCUAAGGAAUUUUUAUUUUUCUUGAUAAGAAAUGUGGAAUGUUUAAGGCUUUUUAAUUUAGUAAGCACUUAUCAUGAGCCACUAUGUUUAAGGCAUUUCUCCUAGUAUGAGUGGUGGCAGCUCUAUGAUUUUAACUUUAAUGAGAUCAAUUUUAGUGAAAAGGCAAGAUAAAAUAUAUGAAUAGUUAAUAUGUGAGCAUAUAUUAUUAAUGAUAGAGUUAUUAAUGAAGUAUAGUUUUAGCCUAGGGAAGUCAACAGUGCUGAAAAAGUCAGGAUCUUUUUCAGAGCCGUAUUUGGGACAUUAAUGUGGCAACAUGGUGAGGAAAAUUUGGAAGUGUGAAAGAAUGGAGGCAGAGAGAUAACUUUGGCAUUUAUCAAGCAGUAAUCUAGGUAAGACAUCAUCAAGACCUGAACUAGAGGGGUAGCUCUUAGAAAUGGCUGUGAGAGACACUGAAGAGACACAACUCAUAUGAUUUGGCAACUACCUCAAAGAUGGGAGAAAGGUGAUGGAAUUUCCAAGAUUAUCUUGAGGGUUUUUUCCCUCUGGCUGCCUAGUUCAAGAAUAGUGUCACUAAUGGAAAUGAGAAGGUUGAAAACUUGUAUUUAGGUACAAAUCAAGUUGGGAUUUGAACUUGAGUUUAUAGUGACACAGGAUGUCUAGAAAGGGGUGUUGAAAUGUGGCACUGGAGCUUAGGAUGGUGAUAAAGACUAGGGAUGCAGAGUUUGGAAAUACCUGGAAAGGGUUGCUUAAGCCUUGGGAAAAGAUGUGAUCAUGAAGCAAGAGUAGGAUCCAAGGGCAGAGUUUGGGAAACACCUACAUUUAUUGACCUGGAAGAGAAGCCAGAAAGAAAUUAGAUAAAAGGCAGCAGGGGAAAUAAGAGUAGAAUCUAGACAGGAUGUCACAGAGAGAGGAAUUUUUAUAUGGAGAGUGAUCAAAAGAGAAAGAUGGAGAUCAAAGAAUUUGAGGAAGAAGCAUAGGAAGCUUCCUCUGGUUACUUUGAAGGUUACCUUCCAAACAAUAGUUCCAGCAAUCUUGGAUAGAGUUGCAUUCUGAGGUGUUUCUAAGAGGCAAAACCUGGAGGAAUAACAGAAGACUUAUCUUCAACAUUUUGAUAGCAAAAAGGGAAGGGUGAGGAAAAGAUCAAAGCUUAGUUUAUUUGCGAAUAAUAAUAACAAACAAUUGGGUACUUAGAACGCAGCAGACUUUUCUUAAGUUUUUUUUUUUUUGGUAUGAUUUUACUCAUUUCAGUCUCAUAAUUCUCUGAGGUAGUUUAUUUAUGUUACCUCCAUAUGACUGAGGAUCAAGGGCACUCAAGUAACUUGCCCAAGAUAACAUAGCUAGUGACUAACUGACAGAGCUCGGAUUCAAGUUCAUGUAAGACUGACUCAAAAAUUCUGGGUCAGGAGAAAGAAUUCUGCUUCUGUGCAAACUGUCCAGUAUGUCUGUAGAUUUAAAGAAAGAGAAAGAAAAGGAUUGCAAAAGAUGAAGCAGAGAGGAUGGUUCCAGACAGAGGUGGUCAGCCACUUCCGUGCUCUUUCUAACAACACAGACUCCAGAUGUCCCUGCUGCCUUGACCCCCACAUUUCUGCCACGCCAUCUGGUAUCACUCCGACUUUGGUUUUCAAUUCCCACGUGCCUUUUAUUUUUUUUUGAAUAUGCAAAUCAUGCAGAUUCCAUCUACUGCAUAUUUAGUAAUUAGUUAUUCCUGUCUAUUUCCUAGAAAUCUUUCUUGUGGUUUACCUCAUCAAUUCUCACAAUAGCCACUGAAAAACUUUAUUUUCCAGAAAGCAACAAAUUGACACUUUCUACCUCAUCAAAAAAAUACCACACCCCAGAUCAACUUUCCUAGAGAAUGAUAUCAGCACUCUCUUUGGAGACCUGAAAUGUUUCCCACUCCCUAUGAGAUUUCUGUACAAAUUCCUCAGCAUGUUACACAAAGCCCUCUUAAGUUUGAUCUAUAUCUUUUUAUUCCUUUUAUUUACUGCUCCCUAUAUAAACCGUCCAGAAUACUCAUUAUUUCUGGAGUCUGGCUGUCUUUUUAUUCUUUGAGUCUUUGAUCUUGCCAUUCCCUUGGUUUUGGAUGCCCACUCUGUCAUUUCAUUCAUUGAAAUGCUCAUGACCCUUACACUCCAAAGUCAAAUGUAUCCUCUUUGAGAAGCUUGAUUAUCCCAGUAGUGCAACUACCGCUUUCUCUUCUGAGCUCAAAAUCAAACAGGUGAAACACAGAUCUUACUGCCAUAGACUUACAGAGCCUUGCCUGUUACACUUACUUGGAAUAAUAAACCUGCUUCAAAGGGCUACAGAGAAAAGGACAGGGGGUAACUUAUCCAAAUGCCCUCAUCAUUUUUACAUUCCAAAGCAUUUUGAGAGUAAAUAGUGGGCCUAAUUUAUUCUUCAUUUCCCAGUAGAGUUGACCACAGUGACUUGUCCUUAGUCUACUCAGUAAUAAUGUGUUGAAUGAAAGAAUGAAUGGGUGAAUGAAUGAUGCUUUUAGAUGUAGAGUCACAAUGAUGAAAAUAAUAUAAUCAAUAGAUUCUUGAGGUUGAGGGAAUUCUCCCCACCAACCACCCAAAUUAUAUCAAUAUUACAUUUUCUACUGUAAUACAUGUUAAGAUUUUCUAUGAAUUCUGACAACUGCUUGUAGAUAAAAAUGAUCAAGUUAUAUCAGCAUUUCUAUGCUGAUAUAAGACACAAGUCAUUUGACUCAUGAUACUAUAAUAAGAAAAAAAAGAGUUCCUGCUGUCACUCAGCUGUAACCAACCCAACUAGUAACCAUGAGGAUGCAGGUUUGAUUCCUGGCCUCACUUAAUGGGUUAAGGAUCCAGCAUUGCUGUGAGCUGUGUUGUAGGUUUCAGACAUGGCUCAGAUCCUGCAUUGCUGUGGCUGUGGUAUAGGCUGGCAGCUACAGCUCUGACUCAACCCCCAGCCUGGGAACCUCCAUAUGUGGUGGAGGCAGCCCUAAAAAGACAAAAAAAAAAAAAAAAAAAAAAAAAAAAAA
rnacentral:lncRNA from 1 species